UAAAAGGGUCGGUUGGCUAAUUAUGCCAUGCUUACCCUUUGAUUUGGUGAGUGCUGUAUGGAAAUCAAGACAUAUGGCCGACAUAUGGAAAUCAAGAAAUCACUUCCCUUUUACUUGAUCCUUUU